GAUAAACGCUGGCGGCGUGCCUAAUGCAUGCAAGUCGCACGGAGCGCUCUUUCGGGGGUGCUGAGUGGCGAACGGGUGAGGAACGCGUGGACAACCUACCCGGCGUGGGGAGUACCCGCCAGAAAUGGCGGCUAAUACCGCGUACGGUUCUCUGGCGAGGGGCGUGGGGAAAGGAAAGCCGUGAGGCGCGCGUGGGAGGGGUCUGCGGCCGAUUAGCUGGUUGGCGGGGUAAUGGCUCACCAAGGCGAUGAUCGGUAGCUGGUCUGAGAGGAUGAUCAGCCACACGGGGACUGAGACACGGCCCCGACUCCUACGGGAGGCAGCAGCAAGGAAUUUUCCGCAAGUGGGGGCCAACCCUGACGGGGCAACGCCGCGUGAC
rnacentral:rRNA from 1 species